rnacentral:rRNA from 1 species
GAUGGACCUAUGGCGCAUUAGCUAGUUGGCGGGGCAACGGCCCACCAAGGCAACGAUGCGUAGCCGGCCUGAGAGGGCGGACGGCCACAUUGGGACUGAGACACGGCCCAGACUCCUACGGGAGGCAGCAGUAGGGAAUUUUCGGCAAUGGGGGAAACCCUGACCGAGCAACGCCGCGUGAGCGAAGAAGGCCUUCGGGUCGUAAAGCUCUGUUGUAAAGGAAGAACGUCGCAUGCAGGAAAUGGUGUGCGAGUGACGGUACUUUACCAGAAAGCCACGGCUAACUACGUGCCAGCAGCCGCGGUAAUACGUAGGUGGCGAGCGUUAUCCGGAAUCAUUGGGCGUAAAGAGGGAGCAGGCGGCCGCAAGGGUCUGUGGUGAAAGACCGAAGCUAAACUUCGGUAAGCCAUGGAAACCGGGCGGCUAGAGUGCGGAAGAGGAUCGUGGAAUUCCAUGUGUAGCGGUGAAAUGCGUAGAUAUAUGGAGGAACACCAGUGGCGAAGGCGACGGUCUGGGCCGCAACUGACGCUCAUUCCCGAAAGCGUGGGGAGCAAAUAGGAUUAGAUACCCUAGUAGUCCACGCCGUAAACGAUGGUCACUAAGUGUCGGGGGUCAAACCCCGGUGCUGCAGUCAACGCAAUAAGUGACCCGCCUGAGUAGUACGUUCGCAAAAAUGAAACUCAAAUGACAUUGACG